UGUGUAGCGGUAAAAUGCGUAGAUAUAUGGAAGAACACCAGUGGCGAAGGCGGUCGCCUGGUCUGUAACUGACGCUGAAGCACGAAAGCGUGGGGAGCAAAUAGGAUUAGAUACCCUAGUAGUCCACGCCGUAAACGAUGAGAACUAAGUGUUGGGGGAAUAACUCAGUGCUGCAGUUAACGCAAUAAGUUCUCCGCCUGGGGAGUAUGCACGCAAGUGUGAAACUCAAAGGAAUUGACGGGGGCCCGCACAAGCGGUGGAGUAUGUGGUUUAAUUCGAAGCAACGCGAAGAACCUUACCAGGCCUUGACAUCCCCGGCGAAGACAUGGAGACAUGUCGGAGGUUACCCGGGAGACAGGUGGUGCAUGGUUGUCGUCAGCUCGUGUCGUGAGAUGUUGGGUUAAGUCCCGCAACGAGCGCAACCCUUGUGAUAUGUUACUAACAUUGAGUUGAGGACUCAUAUCAGACUGCCGGUGACAAACCGGAGGAAGGUGGGGAUGACGUCAAAUCAUCAUGCCCCUUAUGGCCUGGGCUACACACGUACUACAAUGGCGGCUACAAAGAGCGGCGAACCCGCGAGGGGGAGCGAAUCUCACAAAGGUCGUCUCAGUUCGGAUUGAAGUCUGCAACCCGACUUCAUGAAGUUGGAAUCGCUAGUAAUCGCGAAUCAGCAUGUCGCGGUGAAUACGUUCUCGGGCCUUGUACACACCGCCCGU
rnacentral:rRNA from 1 species